AACGUAGGUUCCGAGCGUUAUCCGGAUUUACUGGGCGUAAAGCGCGUUCAGGCGGUUCGGCAAGUCGGGCAUGAAAUCUCUCGGCUCAACCGGGAGAGGUUGUCCGAUACUGUUGGACUUGAGGGCAGUAGAGGGUGGUGGAAUUCCGGGUGUAGUGGUGAAAUGCGUAGAUAUCCGGAGGAACACCAGCGGCGAAAGCGGCCACCUGGACUGUACCUGACGCUCAAACGCGAAAGCUAGGGGAGCGAACGGG
rnacentral:rRNA from 1 species